AUUGAACGCUGGCGGCAUGCUUUACACAUGCAAGUCGAACGGCAGCGCGGGCUUCGGCCUGGCGGCGAGUGGCGAACGGGUGAGUAAUGCAUCGGAACGUGCCCAGUAGUGGGGGAUAGCCCGGCGAAAGCCGGAUUAAUACCGCAUACGACCUGAGGGUGAAAGCGGGGGACCGAAAGGCCUCGCGCUAUUGGAGCGGCCGAUGUCGGAUUAGCUAGUUGGUGCGGUAAAGGCUUACCAAGGCGACGAUCCGUAGCUGGUCUGAGAGGACGACCAGCCACACUGGGACUGAGACACGGCCCAGACUCCUACGGGAGGCAGCAGUGGGGAAUUUUGGACAAUGGGGGCAACCCUGAUCCAGCCAUGCCGCGUGCGGGAAGAAGGCCUUCGGGUUGUAAACCGCUUUUGUUCGGGAAGAAAUCCUCUGGGCUAAUACCCCGGGGGGAUGACGGUACCGGAAGAAUAAGCACCGGCUAACUACGUG
rnacentral:rRNA from 1 species